ACGGGUGAGUAACACGUAAGGAACCUGCCUCAAGGAUUGGGAUAACUCCGAGAAAUCGGAGCUAAUACCGGAUAGUUCAUCGGACCGCAUGGUCCGUUGAUGAAAGGCGCUUCGGCGUCACCUUGAGAUGGCCUUGCGGUGCAUUAGCUAGUUGGUGGGGUAAUGGCCCACCAAGGCGACGAUGCAUAGCCGACCUGAGAGGGUGAUCGGCCACACUGGGACUGAGACACGGCCCAGACUCCUACGGGAGGCAGCAGUAGGGAAUCUUCCACAAUGGACGAAAGUCUGAUGGAGCAACGCCGCGUGAGUGAUGAAGGUUUUCGGAUCGUAAAACUCUGUUGUAAGGGAAGAACACGUACGAGAGGAAAUGCUCGUACCUUGACGGUACCUUACGAGAAAGCCACGGCUAACUACGUGCCAGCAGCCGCGGUAAUACGUAGGUGGCAAGCGUUGUCCGGAAUUAUUGGGCGUAAAGCGCGCGCAGGCGGCCUUUUAAGUCUGAUGUGAAAGCCCCCGGCUCAACCGGGGAGGGCCAUUGGAAACUGGAAGGCUUGAGUACAGAAGAGAA
rnacentral:rRNA from 1 species